rnacentral:rRNA from 1 species
UUCGCCCUUGGGCAAGUCUGGUGCCAGCAGCCGCGGUAAUUCCAGCUCCAAUAGCGUAUAUUAAAGUUGUUGUGGUUAAAAAGCUCGUAGUAGAAGCUCGGGCUCCGGCCGACCGGUCCGCCUCACCGCGUGCACUGGUUCGGCCGGGCCUUCACCUUCUGCGGAACCGCAUCUCCUUCACUGGGGGUGUCGGGGAAACAGGACGUUUACUGUGAAAAAAUUAGAGUGCUCCAGGCAGGCCUAUGCUCGAAUAGAUUAGCAUGGAAUAAUGGAAUAGGACGUGUGGUCUUAUUUCGUUGGUUUCUAGGACCGCCGUAAUGAUUAAUAGGGACAGUCGGGGGCAUCAGUAUUCAAUCGUCAGAGGUGAAAUUCUUGGAUCGAUUGAAGACUAACUACUGCGAAAGCAUUUGCCAAGGAUGUUUUCAUUUAUCAGGAACGAAAGUUAGGGGAUCGAAGACGAUCAGAUACCGUCGUAGUCUUAACCAUAAACUAUGCCGACUAGGGAUCGGACGGUGUUAUUUCUUGACCCGUUCGGCGCCUUACGGGAAAC